UGAUGCUGGUAACCUAAGAAAAUCC
rnacentral:piRNA from 1 species